rnacentral:rRNA from 1 species
GGUAACGCGUGGGUAACCUGCCUCAUACAGGGGGAUAACAGUUAGAAAUGACUGCUAAUACCGCAUAAGACCACGGAGCCGCAUGGCUCAGUGGGAAAAACUCCGGUGGUAUGAGAUGGACCCGCGUCUGAUUAGGUAGUUGGUGGGGUAACGGCCUACCAAGCCAACGAUCAGUAGCCGACCUGAGAGGGUGACCGGCCACAUUGGGACUGAGACACGGCCCAA